GGGGCUGAUUCUGGAUUCGACGGGAUUUGCGAAACCCAAGGUGCAUGCCGAGGGGCGGUUGGCCUCGUAAAAAGCCGCAAAAAAAUAGUCGCAAACGACGAAACCUACGCUUUAGCAGCUUAAUAACCGGCUUAGAGCCCUCUCUCCCUAGCCUCCGCUCUUAGGACGGGGAUCAAGAGAGGUCAAACCCAAAAGAGAUCGCGCGGAUGCCCUGCCUGGGGUUGAAGCGUUAAAACGAAUCAGGCUAGUCUGGUAGUGGCGUGUCCGUCCGCAGGUGCCAGGCGAAUGUAAAGACUGACUAAGCAUGUAGUACCGAGGAUGUAGGAAUUUCGGACGCGGGUUCAACUCCCGCCAGCUCCACCA
rnacentral:tmRNA from 1 species